rnacentral:rRNA from 1 species
CGAAAGAUUGACCCAGUUACUUAUAAGGAUGAAAAUAAUAAAUUUAUAAAAUUGAUUAAAAAUAAAAUCCAUAAAUAGUGAAAAUAAUGAUAUUAACUAUCAUAUAAAAUAAAUAUUUAAAAUAUUUAUAAUAAUAUGAAUAUAAAUAAUAAUAUAUAUAUUUAUAUAUAUAUUAUAUUUUAUAUUUUAAUAGUCCCUGCCUAAAUUUGUGCCAGAAGUAUCGGUUAAACAAAGGGGGCGAGCGUUAAUCAUAAUGGUUUAAAGGGUCCGUAGAAUGAAAAUAUAUAUAAAAAUUUUAAGAGUUAAUAAGAUUAAUUAAAGAAUUAUAAUAGUAAGGAUGAAAUGAUAAUAAUAAUUAUAAGACUGAUAUAUGUGAAAAUAUUAAUUAAUAAUUAACUGACAUUAAGGGACGAAAGCUAAAGUAUCAAUAUGGAUUCGAUACCCAUGUAGUUUUAGCUGUAAACUAUGAACACCAUAUAAUAUAUAAUAAAUAUAUUAUAUAAAUGAAAAUGAAAGUGUUCCACCUGAAGAGUAUAUUUGCAAGAAUGAAACUCAAGACAAUAGACGGUUACAGACUUAAGCAGUGGAGCAU